rnacentral:rRNA from 1 species
CACCGCGGUUAUACGAAGAGGCUCAAAUUGAUAUUCCACGGCGUAAAGCGUGAUUAGGAGAAACGAAAACUAAAGCUAAAUACCCCCUAGCUGUCAUACGCUCAAAAAGGCACGAAGCCCCACAACGAAAGUAGCUUUAACCCAAGACCCUGAACUCACGAAAAUUAAGGAA